UACGUAGGUGGCAAGCGUUAUCCGGAAUUAUUGGGCGUAAAGCGAGCGCAGGUGGUUUAAUAAGUCUGAUGUAAAAGGCAGUGGCUCAACCAUUGUGUGCAUUGGAAACUGUUAGACUUGAGUGCAGUAGAGGAGAGUGGAAUUCCAUGUGUAGCGGUGAAAUGCGUAGAUAUAUGGAGGAACACCGGUGGCGAAAGCGGCUCUCUGGACUGUAACUGACACUGAGGCUCGAAAGCGUGGGUAGCAAACAGG
rnacentral:rRNA from 1 species